ACCCGGCCCCGGUGGCCGUCCCCGUGUCCCUGUCCCCACCCAGGUGUCCCUGUGGGCACCACAGAGUGCUUUGGGUCGGAGCUCAGGGAUCAUCUGCUUCCCACCUUCUCCAGGUAGUUGAACUCCAUGGCGAUCUCCCGGAAGAAGAAGUAGACAUGGCUCCUCCAUUCCACGGCGUGCACGAAGGUCGGGCUGUCCCCGAGGCUGCGGUAGAUGACGGCGUCGAUGGCCAGGAAAUCCGUCACCGUGGCCGUGAAGAGCAUCCCCCCUGCGUGGGACAGGGUGUCAGCGGGGCUGGGGGACACAGUGCCCGCUGUGACAGUGGCAGUGCCACCACCGACCUGUGAACAGGGCCACGUUGGCGUGCUUGGGGUCGUAGGGACACCGGGCCAUGCCGCUGAUGUUGUCCCCGACGGGCUCCAGCGUGUCCAUCUAGAGAGGUUGGCGCAGACGGGGUUGAAGGCGUUGGUGCCACAGACGAAGAGGAGGCUCUCGUUCCUCACCAGCAGCACCUUGAUGAAAUUUCGGCACUCUGCCUGUGCCGGGAGAGGGGACCGUCACCCUCAGCACCCCAAAACCC